GUUAGGAAUCUUCCACAAUGGGGGCAACCCUGAUGGAGCAACACCGCGUGCUGGAUGAAGGCCUUCGGGUCGUAAACAGCUUUUGUAUACGAAGAAUAUGACGGUAAUAUACGAAUAAGGGUCGGCUAACUACGUGCCAGCAGCCGCGGUCAUACGUAGGACCCAAGCGUUAUCCGGAGUGACUGGGCGUAAAGAGUUGCGUAGGCGGCUUAUUAAGCGAGUAGUGAAAUCUGGUGGCUCAACCAUCAACACAUUGCUCGAACUGAUAGGCUUGAGAAUGGUAGAGGUAGUUAGAAUUUCUUGUGUAGGAGUGAAAUCCGUAGAUAUAAGAAGGAACACCAAUGGCGUAGGCAGACUACUGGACCAUUUCUGACGCUGAGGCACGAAAGCGUGGGGAGCGAACCGGAUUAGAAACCCCUGUAGUCC
rnacentral:rRNA from 1 species